rnacentral:rRNA from 1 species
AUUGAACGCUGGCGGCAGGCCUAACACAUGCAAGUCGAGCGAGCGGCGGACGGGUGAGUAAUGUAUGGGAAUCUGCCCGAUGGAGGGGGAUAACUACUGGAAACGGUGGCUAAUACCGCAUACUAUCGGAUGUACCCAGAUGGGAUUAGCUAGUAGGUGGGGUAAAGGCUCACCUAGGCGACGAUCCCUAGCUGGUCUGAGAGGAUGAGCAGCCACACUGGGACUGAGACACGGCCCAGACUCCUACGGGAGGCAGCAGUGGGGAAUAUUGCACAAUGGGCGCAAGCCUGAUACAGCCAUGCCGCGUGUAUGAAGAAGGCCUUCGGGUUGUAAAGUACUUUCAGCGAGGAGGCGUUACCCGCAGAAGAAGCACCGGCUAACUCCGUGCCAGCAGCCGCGGUAAUUC